UGGCUUAUGGUUCUAUGAUUCGAUACCACGACUUUAUUUGUUCAUCCAGCCGUCGUGGUUGAUUAACCGCAACUCCCAGAAUGUUUGUUUGUUUAUAGCAUCUAAUCUAAUGAUUGCUGCUGCAGAUGACAGGGUAUUAGGAAGGCACUAAUGUUGGUUUUGUGGUGAUCCGUCGAGCAGGAGAUCGACAGAUGUCUGCUAGAUAUCAUGCAUAUAUUCAUGUUCAGCUGGGAAAGAAUAUGAACCAAACGUCGUCUUCAGAAACAAAGGACUGACAAGUACAUGUACAGUAUUGUAGUCAGUACGCAGCAGCAGUACUCUUGUGAAUACAGUAUACUACUGUUUUUUUUUUCCGGAAUUCCGAGUACAAAGCCCCAUGUGAGCUGCUGUUAGGUGUUCCUAAGGUUUGGUGGCUGGUUGUUGUUCUGUAAUAAUGGCAACAGAUCGAUCGAGUAGACAAGUACUUGUAUGAUUGAGGCAAAUCUAAUACUUAUCUUACUGUAACUGAAAUUUGUGAAAUCUAUCAUUAGUCUGUGUGGAGACUUGUC
rnacentral:sRNA from 1 species